rnacentral:rRNA from 1 species
GAUUUUAGUGCUUGCACUAAAUGAAACUAUAUACAAGCGAGCGGCGGACGGGUGAGUAACACGUGGGUAACCUGCCCAAGAGACUGGGAUAACACCUGGAAACAGAUGCUAAUACCGGAUAACAACACUAGACGCAUGUCUAGAGUUUGAAAGAUGGUUCUGCUAUCACUCUUGGAUGGACCUGCGGUGCAUUAGCUAGUUGGUAAGGUAACGGCUUACCAAGGCAAUGAUGCAUAGCCGAGUUGAGAGACUGAUCGGCCACAUUGGGACUGAGACACGGCCCAAACUCCUACGGGAGGCAGCAGUAGGGAAUCUUCCACAAUGGACGAGAGUCUGAUGGAGCAACGCCGCGUGAGUGAAGAAGGGUUUCGGCUCGUAAAGCUCUGUUGGUAGUGAAGAAAGAUAGAGGUAGUAACUGGCCUUUAUUUGACGGUAAUUACUUAGAAAGUCACGGCUAACUACGUGCCAGCAGCCGCGGUAAUACGUAGGUGGCAAGCGUUGUCCGGAUUUAUUGGGCGUAAAGCGAGUGCAGGCGGUUCAAUAAGUCUGAUGUGAAAGCCUUCGGCUCAACCGGAGAAUUGCAUCAGAAACUGUUGAACUUGAGUGCAGAAGAGGAGAGUGGAACUCCAUGUGUAGCGGUGGAAUGCGUAGAUAUAUGGAAGAACACCAGUGGCGAAGGCGGCUCUCUGGUCUGCAACUGACGCUGAAGCUCGAAAGCAUGGGUAGCGAACAGGAUUAGAUACCCUGGUAGUCCAUGCCGUAAACGAUG